UUCGUAGGCGGUGCGGCAAGUCGGGAGUGAAAUCUCUGGGCUUAACUCAGAGGCUGCUUCCGAAACUGCUGUGCUCGAGUGUGGGAGAGGCGCGUGGAAUUGCAGGUGUAGCGGUGAAAUGCGUAGAUAUCUGCAGGAACACCCGUGGCGAAAGCGGCGCGCUGGACCACAACUGACGCUGAGGAACGAAAGCUAGGGGAGCAAACAGGAUUAGAUACCCUGGUAGUCCUAGCCCUAAACGAUCAGGACUUGGGGUGCCUUCCGUUCGGAAGUCGUCCCAGAGCUAACGCGUUAAGUCCUGCACCUGGGGAGUACGGUCGCAAGACUGAA
rnacentral:rRNA from 1 species